CCUACGGGCGGCAGCAGUGGGGAAUAUUGGACAAUGGGGGGAACCCUGAUCCAGCCAUGCCGCGUGUGUGAAGAAGGCCCUCGGGUUGUAAAGCACUUUCAGUGAGGAAGAACGCCUGGUGGUUAAUACCCAUCAGGAAAGACAUCACUCACAGAAGAAGCACCGGCUAACUCCGUGCCAGCAGCCGCGGUAAUACGGAGGGUGCGAGCGUUAAUCGGAAUUACUGGGCGUAAAGCGCGCGUAGGUGGCUUGAUAAGCCGGUUGUGAAAGCCCCGGGCUCAACCUGGGAACGGCAUCCGGAACUGUCAAGCUAGAGUGCAGGCGAGGAAGGUAGAAUUCCCGGUGUAGCGGUGAAAUGCGUAGAGAUCGGGAGGAAUACCAGUGGCGAAGGCGGCCUUCUGGACUGACACUGACACUGAGGUGCGAAAGCGUGGGUAGCAAACAGGAUUAGAUACCCUAGUAGUC
rnacentral:rRNA from 1 species